rnacentral:rRNA from 1 species
GACAAACGCUGGCGGCGUGUAUGAGACAUGCAAGUCGAACGGGUGACUCGGGCUUGCUCGAGUCGCUAGUGGCGAACGGCUGAGUAACGCGUAGGUGACCUGCCCCGAAGUGGGGAAUAACUGCCCGAAAGGGUGGCUAAUACCGCAUGUGGUCACACAUUCAUUUGUGUGAGGAAAGCCGCAAGGCGCUUCGGGAGGGGCCUGCGUCCGAUUAGCUCGUUGGGUGGUAACGGCUCACCAAGGCGACGAUCGGUAGGUGGUCUGAGAGGACGAUCACCCAGACUGGGACUGAGACACGGCCCAGACUCC